rnacentral:rRNA from 1 species
GAUGAACGCUGGCGGCGUGCCUAAUACAUGCAAGUAGAACGCUGAAGGAGGAGCUUGCUCUUCUGGAUGAGUUGCGAACGGGUGAGUAACGCGUAGGGAACCUGCCUGGUAGCGGGGGAUAACUAUUGGAAACGAUAGCUAAUACCGCAUGACAACAGUUAUUGCAUGAUAACUGUUUAAAAGGGGCAACUGCUCCACUACCAGAUGGACCUGCGUUGUAUUAGCUAGUUGGUGAGGAAACGGCUCACCAAGGGAACGAACCAUAGCGGACCUGAGAGGGGGACGGCCACACUGGGACUUAGACACCGCCCCGAAUCCUACGGGAGGCAGCAGUAGGGGAUCUUCGGCCAUGGACGGAAGUCUGGACGGGGCAAGCCGGGGUAGUGAAGGAGGUUUUCGGAUCGUAAAACUCUGUUGUAAAGGAAGGACGAGUGUGGGAGUGAAAAGUUCACACUGUGACGGUAUCUUACCAGAAAGCGACGGCUAACUACGUG